rnacentral:rRNA from 1 species
AUACAGAGGGUGCGAGCGUUAAUCGGAAUUACUGGGCGUAAAGCGCGCGUAGGCGGCUGAUUAAGUCAGAUGUGAAAUCCCCGGGCUCAACCUGGGAACUGCAUCUGAUACUGGUAAGCUAGAGUUUGGGAGAGGGAAGUAGAAUUUCAGGUGUAGCGGUGAAAUGCAUAGAGAUCUGAAGGAAUACCAGUGGCGAAGGCGACUUCCUGGUCUAAAACUGACGCUGAGGUGCGAAAGCGUGGGUAGCAAACGGGAUUAGAAACCCCGGUAGUCC